CAAAACGUUCUCACUUGAGAACCUGUAGGUAGGGUGGUUCAGGCCCCGGGGUUAGUGGGACACAUUGCAGCCAGGAUCGUCUGAGUGCUUGCUAGAUUGAAGGGAUGUUUAAUAUCCCUUCACUGUUUAACUGGCUCAGAAAGUGACUGAGUGAGAAGAGAGAACACGGUUACGUGGAAGACCUGUUAUGGACAUGAAAGCCGAACCCACCAUGAAGAUGUCACCGCGGGUCCAAAUUUGUAGGUGGACGCCAGAAGCGAAUUUAGACUAUGACCUGGGCAACCAGCAGACACACUAUUCCAGGCUUAAGAAAAUCCAGGUGGUUAAAAGGCAGCAUCCCUGUCUGUGCUUGGUCCAGGAACGCGGCCAUUCAUUUGUGGCCCACCACUGCCCUCUGGUGGCAAUCUCUAAAAAUGCAACUUGGUUUUAAAGGUUGGCGAUGGCGAGUC